rnacentral:tRNA from 1 species
UCUCUGGUGGCUCAGAUGGUAAAGUGUCUGCCUUCAAAGCAGGAGACCCAGGUUCGAUCCUGGGUCAGGAAG